CAUACAGUGGUUUGUACAGAUAAAAAUGUACAUGUUAUCAAGUUCUAAAUAGUAUUUCAAUUUCCAAGGGAGGGCAUGACAGAAAAUAAUUGAGAGUCACUGGUUUACGACAACAAGUAGUUAGCUAGUUAGACACUUAGCAUUUUGCUGCACAUUUGUUUUCAUACAUAUUUCAGUAUGUUUAUCAAAUAGUACUUUUCCCGAUGCCCAACCCUAGUCUGCAUAUGUGUGUGUGUGUGUUUGUGUGUUAUUCCUCCUGACCUUGGCCAAUCAUUGGUUUCUCCUCCUGGCAGCCCUUGGAUCAGACAAACACCAUCUUCUCCUCCACCUUUGCUGCUGUCGUCUUGGUGUACGGAGGCUGAAAACCCGAACCCAUUCCAAGUGGGCUAGGUUCCCACUUCUCGUUUUCAGCUUCACCUUCUCUGACUGAUCGGGACAGAUGGGAGUGAGAAGGUUGACGAAGCAAUUUUCGCACAGACUCGUUUAUUUCCUGGUAGCUGUGGGCUGCACACACCAUCUGGGACGUUGGCUGUCUCUCUCUCUCCACAGUCGGACACAGAAGCUCAGACAAGG